AUUGAACGCUGGCGGCAUGCUUUACACAUGCAAGUCGAACGGGCUGGGGGCAACUCCAGUCAGUGGCGAACGGGUGAGUAAUACAUCGGAACGUACCUCGUAGUGGGGGAUAACUCGGCGAAAGCCGUGCUAAUACCGCAUAUGCUCUACGGAGGAAAGCAGGGGACCGUAAACAGGCCUUGUGCUAUGGGAGCGGCCGAUGUCCGAUUAGCUAGUUGGUGAGGUAAUGGCNCACCAAGGCGACGAUCGGUAGCUGGUCUGAGAGGAUGAUCAGCCACACUGGGACUGAGACACGGCCCAGACUCCUACGGGAGGCAGCAGUGGGGAAUUUUGGACAAUGGGCGCAAGCCUGAUCCAGCCAUGCCGCGUGAGUGAUGAAGGCCUUAGGGUUGUAAAGCUCUUUCGGC
rnacentral:rRNA from 1 species